GUUCUCUCCCAUAUGAGGAGGUAAACCCUAGCCGCUGCCCCCCUUUUUCUUCUCUCUCCUCUCAUCAUCAUCGCCAUUUUUGGCAAUAUGAAAGGCGCACGUUGUUUUCUCCAGGCCUGGUAUGGCCAAAUGGAGCAAAGCAUUAAAUGCUUCUACUAUUGUCACCAAACGCAACCCCAAAUGAGUUUUUGGGAUUUGAGGAAAAAGCGUCUCCAAAGGUUCAAUCUCGACAGAGGCUACACUCAAAAAAGAUUGUGAUCCAGA